GACGGAGGAUGCAAGCGUUAUCCGGAAUCACUGGGCGUAAAGCGUCUGUAGGUGGUUUAAAAAGUCUACUGUUAAAAAUUGAAGCUUAACUUCAAAGGUGCCGUAGAAACUUUUAAACUUGAGGAUGGUAGGGGUAGAGGGAAUUCCCGGUGUAGCGGUGAAAUGCGUAGAGAUCGGGAAGAACAUCGGUGGCGAAGGCGGCCACCUGGACCAGCACUGACACUGAGGCACGAAAGCGUGGGGAGCAAACAGG
rnacentral:rRNA from 1 species